rnacentral:rRNA from 1 species
CUGGCUCAGGACGAACGCUGGCGGCAUGCCUAACACAUGCAAGUCGAACGGACAUAACCAAGUUAUAGCGAUAUAAUGCGGGUAUGUUAGUGGCGAACGGGUGAGUAACACGUGAGCAACCUGCCCUGUACAACGGGAUAACAGUUGGAAACGACUGCUAAUACGGUAUAAGACCACACUGCGGCAUCGCAGAGGGGUAAAAGUGAAUUAGCGGUACAGGAUGGGCUCGCGUCCAAUUAGCUAGUUGGUGAGGUAACGGCUCACAAAGGCGACGAUUGGUAGCCGACCUGAGAGGGUGAUCGGCCACACUGGAACUGAGACACGGUCCAGACUCCUACGGGAGGCAGCAGUGGGGAAUAUUGGGCAAUGGAGGAAACUCUUACCCAGCAAUGCCGCGUGAAGGAAGAAGGUCUUCGGAUUGUAAACUUCUUUUAUUGGGGACGAAUAAAUGACGGUACCCGAUGAAUAAGCCCCGGCUAACUAUGUGCCAGCCGCCGC